GGGGAGGGGGGAGGAGAGGAGAAAGGAGAAAAGAGAAAGGAGAAAGGAGAAAGGAGAAGCAGAAAGGAGUUAUAUCAUUUACUGGAAUACUUGCCAAAUCCCCACAACAGCCAGAGCUGGGCCGAAGCUGCAACCAGGAGCUGGGAACUCAACCUAGGUCUCCCAUGUGGGGAGCAGGGGCCCAGCUUCGGGGGCCAUCACUGCUGCCUCCGAGUCUGCAGUAGCAGGAAGCUGGAAUCAGGAGCUGGAGCCGAGCCUGGAGCUCAGGCACUCUAGUUUGGGACAUGGUGUCUUCAUGGUGAAGGCAAACACUCACCCUAGGUCGCUAGCCUUUCUCUACUCUGCUGAGUAGGUGUUGUCAGGAAAAUGUAUUCAAAACUUGCAUUUUGUGUGCUGUGAAGUAAGAGUGGGCUGGUGAGAAGCAUACUCUGUUUCUGGCUGCAUGGAGGACUUAGCGGUGAUCGGAAAAGACGCUCCUGGCCUUUUUGUGUCCCAGCUUCAUUCCUAAGAAAGGACAAACCUGUAGUCUGCCCCUUAGGAUUUGGGAAGCUGUUGUGGCACAGUGUUCGAGCUUCCUGGGGGAAAAGGCUACUCAGAGAGACAGCUUGGCUCGUCCUUUUAAUGUCAAUUAUAUUCUGAACCAUGAAUUUCAGGAUCCCACGACCCGCAGUGGAACCAGCAGCUGAUGGAUUCGGUGGGACUGAAUCCUCCUCCUUGACGCCAAAUCAAAAUUUGCUGUGGCUGAAAGAGACACAGAUGGCCACUUGGGUUUGAGGAAGAAGAAUUUCGGGCCAUAGAAGACUGACCAGUUGUAAAGGUCAUUUGCAUCCUGGGGAAAAAUGACAAAGUUGACCAAGAAUUCCACGGCACAAUGUGCAGAGGAAUGCGUCCAGCAGACUCUCCCCAAAGGAAACACGAGGAAAACAUCUUACUGUAAGAUACAGAUUUAAUAUGUUUUUCAUAUUUGGAAAGAAAAGUUAAUGUCUGGGAAUGUCGUUUGAUUCACUGGCCAGAAGGAUUUGUGGUGUUCUCUCUGCCCUUCCCCACAUGCCCCAAGUCUUUAGAUUAGAAUUGAUUUAUUUACAGAGAAAAGAACGGGACUUUGAUAUACUAUACUAAUGUUAAGCAUUUAUGGGGUUUAAAAAUAUUUAUGAAUGUGUAAAAGUUAUUAAAGUAAAUGUGUUUUAAGUUACCUUGUGAUCAGGUAUAGAAUGAAUAUAAAACCAGGAAAUUUUAUUAAAGAAAGAAAAAGACAAUACAUAUGAGUAGAUUUACAAAGUUUCAUAAUCUUAGGGCAUGUGUGUGUCUCUUUUGUGCACAAUUUAAGAAACAUGAUCUUGUAAAAUAUAGACUUCAUAUGCAAGGGUGCAUUUUUAGACUGAUAAAUUAUAAUGUUAAAGCACCAAGAAAAUUUCAUUCUAACUGUUUUUGGCCAAUCAAAAAUAUAGUGAAAAAUUUUCUUUUUCAAUAAAAAACUUCCACAAUUUGUUCUUUCUGAAAGAAAAAUUAGUAUUUGAAGAAUACUGAUCUGCUGUUUUGGGGCCUUAGUUUUAGGGGAAGAGAAUUUUUAUUUGCUUUCUAGGAUUGUUUAGGCUGUAUAUUUGCUCAUGAGAAAAAUGUUCAGUAUACUUACAUAAAAUUGGACAUUUAAGUUAGAGACAAGA